rnacentral:rRNA from 1 species
AGGAAAGCAGGGGAUCGCAAGACCUUGCGCUUUUGGAGCGGCCGAUGUCUGAUUAGCUAGUUGGUGAGGUAAAGGCUUACCAAGGCUUCGAUCAGUAGCUGGUCUGAGAGGACGACCAGCCACACUGGGACCGAGACACGGCCCAGACUCCUACGGGAGGCAGCAGUGGGGAAUUUUGGACAAUGGGGGCAACCCUGAUCCAGCCAUGCCGCGUGAGUGAAGAAGGCCUUCGGGUUGUAAAGCUCUUUCAGCCGGAACGAAAAGGUUACGGUUAAUACCCGUGACUAAUGACGGUACCGGAAGAAGAAGCACCGGCUAACUACGUGCCAGCAGCCGCGGUAAUACGUAGGGUGCGAGCGUUAAUCGGAAUUACUGGGCGUAAAGCGUGCGCAGGCGGUUUUGUAAGUCAGAUGUGACAUCCCCGGGCUUAACCUGAGAACUGCGUUUGAAACUACAAGGCU